rnacentral:rRNA from 1 species
UGAGGAAUCUUGCGCAAUGGGGGAAACCCUGACGCAGCGACGCCGCGUGAGUGAGGAAGGCCUUCGGGUCGUAAAGCUCUGUCAGUUGGAAAGAAAUGCUUGAGAGUUAAUACCUUUCAAGCUUGACGGUACCAACAGAGGAAGCACCGGCUAACUCCGUGCCAGCAGCCGCGGUAAUACGGGGGGUGCAAGCGUUGUUCGGAAUUAUUGGGCGUAAAGAGCGUGUAGGCGGCCGGAUAUGUCAGAUGUGAAAUCCCUGGGCUUAACCCAGGAAGUGCAUUUGAAACUGUCCGGCUAGAGUAGGGGAGAGGGAAGUGGAAUUCCUGGUGUAGAGGUGAAAUUCGUAGAUAUCAGGAGGAACACCGGUGGCGAAGGCGACUUCCUGGCCCUAUACUGACGCUGAGACGCGAGAGUGUGGGUAGCAAACAG